AUUUAUGUAGUUUAUUAAACUUAAAACCCCUUAUUUUCAAUAAGGAAAUAAGACGAACGUCUUCAUAAAUA
rnacentral:tRNA from 2 species